UACAGAGGUCUCAAGCGUUGUUCGGAUUCAUUGGGCGUAAAGGGCGCGUAGGCGGCGCGGUAAGUCGGGUGUGAAAGCUCGGAGCUUAACUCCGAAACUGCAUUCGAUACUGCCGUGCUUGAGGACUGGAGAGGAGACUGGAAUUUACGGUGUAGCGGUGAAAUGCGUAGAUAUCGUAAGGAAGACCAGUGGCGAAGGCGGGUCUCUGGACAGUUCCUGACGCUGAGGCGCGAAGGCCAGGGGAGCAAACGGG
rnacentral:rRNA from 1 species